AGUUAACUACUUAAGAAAAAAAAAUCAGAAUUUGAAGAUCAAAACGCAAUUCUAGUUUGAAAGUUAAUCACAUGACUUGCAAGAUAAAUGAAGCAUAAAUUUAACCAUGAUUUAUAAGAAAAGAAAAGAAAGCCUGGAUUUUGGUCAUAGGACCCAGGCCCAACGCCUAGGUCCAGCUUGAUUUCGUGGAUUAGUCUUUAUUUGGGGCCUCAAGUUCAGCCCUACGGAUUGAGCUCACAACCUGGCCCAUUGUGCCACUAUGCUUAUGAAUGUAUUGUUACACUUUUAUCAGUAGUUUAAAACAAAAUUAGAGUCCCACUCAUUACAUCAUUUCAUACAGAAUACAACUUUUUAAAAAUCUAGAAAUAUUACAUAGUAACCUAUUAAGUACAUAAGUUACUACUUUAACCACUAAUCUUUUGCAACUCCCAUAUGAUUGAUGACCUUUGAACACCUGGCUCGUUUGGACAUGACUUAUCCAUCAAAGUUGGGCUUCUCACAUGAACAGCACUAGAAUUCACCAUGUCAAAAGGAAAAGUUUAGAUUCUACCCUUUGGACCUGCUGAUUUGGCCAACUAGUGACCACACCCACAAGUAUUGGCUCAUUGUUUGUAAGCAGACCCCAAAUGACCUCAAACAAACCAUCAUUCUACUUAUCAACAAAAGAAAAAGGGGCAGAAAUGACUUAAAAACAAUUGUUACUCACAAAGAAGAAGAAGAAAUACUAAAGAAUCAUCGUUAAUACCAAAGUAACUUCAUGAGAGAACUCGAGCAUCAAUGUGUAUACAAAACUGACUAAACUAGAUUAUUUCAUACUUAAAUUCAAAGCAAUGAAAGAAGAAACCAACCAACUUCAUCUCAACCUAAUCAAACAGUUAACAUACAAUUUUGCAAACUUAAUUUAUAUUAACCUUAUAACCACAUAUACAUUGAGGGUGUUCGAAUUCAAUAUCUUGAAAGAUAGCAACCAAAAAAAACAAAGAAAUAAGCAGGAAAACAAGUCGAAAAUAGAUGUCCAUUUCAAAAUACUUACAACUUUACAUGAAUACUAUGUCAUGACAAACAUAUAAAGCAUAAGAAAUCACAUAAGUGAACCCAAGUCAAGCAUGUGAGUCCCAUAUGUAUACCUUUAUCAACAAAAUAGACAACAAAAGCAAAUAGUUCUCUGAAAACUGGAUAGGAACAGUAGCAAAAUACAGCAACAACAGCCCAAAAAUAACCCAGGGAUCAAAAUUAAAUCAAAACCAUCUUCGAAGCCAGAAAAUCCAGCUAAAGGAACAAAAGAAAUCCUCCACUUCAAACCAUAUUUAUCAGCUUGUGAAAACCAAGAAUAAGAAGUUUUGGAUGUUUUCUAAAAUUAUUGAAAUCUUGAUCUUUUUACAGAAAAGAAGAGAGAACUUUUUUGCAGAGAAUAAUGCUAAGUGUCUCUGUGUGAGUGAUGGAAUAUUUUUCUUUUAUAGAGUGCACAAAAAAGCAUCAAAAAAAGAAUAUUCUGACCUAAUUUUUUGAUUACAGAAUAGUACAACAUCUUUUAUACAGUUGUAUGUCCUUUUCCUUAUCCAAUAUCAGCCUUUUAUGCUAAGAAUGGGGACAUCCGUCAUAUUCUAGAAAAUUCUAAUAUUUAAACUUUUGUAAAAGUCCAUUUUUACCCUUUGAAUUACUGAUUAUUUCUUCUUUGUCCUAGUUUUUAAAUUCAAUUAUGACCCUACAAGUUCCUAUUAUUUUACAAACUAAGGAGAAAAACUCAAAGACCUGACUUAAAAGCCAGGAAGACUAAAUGAAGAAAAUCCUAAUUCAAUUAAGCUUUUGACUAGACCAAAAUUCUUUUAGAAAUUAACUGAAAUCAGAAACAAUCAUAGAACAGGAGAAUUUAAAUCAUCGACUGACAAAAAUGCUAAGACCUAAAUCAUGCAGCUAAAACAAAUGAAAAAGAAACAAAACAACAAGAAUGCACUGGAAUAAAAUGGAAGGCAUGAUAAAUCUGCCCUAAACAACUAAGAGACUAAUACAAGCAAGUAUAGGGUAAUAUAAAUAACACCUAAUCAUUUCAACAAGUGAAAAAUUGCAACUAAUUGGGGCAGAUAAACUCUCAAACAAAUUCAGACUAGUACACAACUAGAACAACAAGAGAAAAAUAGACACAAAACAAAAAUCAAUGAGGGAAAGGCAGGGUACUGGUUUUACAAGACAGAAAUGAUGACGAGAAUGACCUAAUUGAACAAUGGAGGUAACAAACUUGGCCGAGCAUAGGGGACUUCGAGAUGGAUUGAAACUGGCCCAAACGACUACUCCGGUCAAGAGUAAACUAUUUGGGCAAGUUUCCAAGGCAAAAUGAGCAAGAAAAUCAAUCAGCACACCAAAAAAUACAGGAACUAGGUUGGAAUUUUUGUAUCUGAGAUUCAUGGAGUUCUAGGGGUUAUUUGGAUUAGUCUUUGAUGAGUUUUUAGUUUAGGGAGCGUGGUGGUUAUAGGAUGUAAGGUUGGGCGAUUUUUGGAAGGGUUUGGGUGUACUAGGUUCGAUCAUAUAUCUCAAAUUGAGGGGAUUUGAGAGGAAUUUGAGGGAGUUGGCUUUGCGAUUUAGAAAGAAGAGGAGGUAAGGAGUGUUUGGUGUUAAUCUGGAGCCAUUUGGAGCAGUUCCACCGCCGUGAGGCGAUUUUCAGUGGCGAAGGGUGGUGGAGGCGAGGUGGACAUUGAGGCGGCUAGGUUUUCUCUAGUUUGGACGUUAGAGACAAAUGAAGGGUUCCGAAUAGAUGGGGGAGUAUUUCAGA
rnacentral:lncRNA from 1 species